GUCAGCACCCCGCACUCUCUGUGACGGGGCCAUGCGCGGAGCGCAGGCUACGCGACUGGUGCCCCUAACUUCAGUUAGUUGACCAGCCUAAGUCUUAACUGACUACGUUUUUUGAGUUAUGACACCCUGUUGGAUGCGAUAGCGAAGCGUGGCGUCAUCCAUAGCUAGUCCCUGGCUCUGUC
rnacentral:sRNA from 26 species